GCGCGUGUAGCUCAGUUGGAUAGAGCAGCGGUUUCCUAAACCGGAGGUCGGCGGUUCGAGUCCGCCCACGCGCACCA
rnacentral:tRNA from 1 species